rnacentral:rRNA from 1 species
UGGAUCCAGACUUUGAUCCUGGCUCAGGAUGAACGCUAGCUACAGGCUUAACACAUGCAAGUCGAGGGGAAACGACAUCGAAAGCUUGCUUUUGAUGGGCGUCGACCGGCGCACGGGUGAGUAACGCGUAUCCAACCUGCCCACCACUUGGGGAUAACCUUGCGAAAGUAAGACUAAUACCCAAUGAUAUCUCUAGAAGACAUCUGAAAGAGAUUAAAGAUUUAUCGGUGAUGGAUGGGGAUGCGUCUGAUUAGCUUGUUGGCGGGGUAACGGCCCACCAAGGCGACGAUCAGUAGGGGUUCUGAGAGGAAGGUCCCCCACAUUGGAACUGAGACACGGUCCAAACUCCUACGGGAGGCAGCAGUGAGGAAUAUUGGUCAAUGGGCGAGAGCCUGAACCAGCCAAGUAGCGUGCAGGAUGACGGCCCUAUGGGUUGUAAACUGCUUUUAUAAGGGAAUAAAGUGAGUCUCGUGAGACUUUUUGCAUGUACCUUAUGAAUAAGGACCGGCUAAUUCCGUGCCAGCAGCCGCGGUAAUACGGAAGGUCCGGGCGUUAUCCGGAUUUAUUGGGUCUAAAGGGAGCGUAGGCCGGAGAUUAAGCGUGUUGUGAAAUGUAGACGCUCAACGUCUGCACUGCAGCGCGAACUGGUUUCCUUGAGUACGCACAAAGUGGGCGGAAUUCGUGGUGUAGCGGUGAAAUGCUUAGAUAUCACGAAGAACUCCGAUUGCGAAGGCAGCUCACUGGAGCGCAACUGACGCUGAAGCUCGAAAGUGCGGGUAUCGAACAGGAUUAGAUACCCUGGUAGUCCGCACGGUAAACGAUGGAUGCCCGCUGUUGGUCUGAAUAGGUCAGCGGCCAAGCGAAAGCAUUAAGCAUCCCACCUGGGGAGUACGCCGGCAACGGUGCAACUCAAAUGAAUUGACGGA